GCCGCCCCUCCCGCACUCCCCGCACCCACACCCCACUCUCCCCACGACGCCCCCUCCUCACGAGUACUAGUCCACCAAGAACAGAACACAUAUUUGACUUGCAGGUGAGGCUCUUAUUGGGCUUUGAUUUCGCUGCUCCAGAUCGAAGCUCCCGGCGUUGGCGGCCGCGGUGCGCUGGGUGUUGCAGAUCAGAGUUCAAAGGCAUAGCCAUGGAGCAUAUCAAGCAUAAGUGCAGAUAGAAAGACUAAGACAGUGGGAGGAAGACAAGUUGCUGGUUUGGCUUUUUGGGGAAGAAUGGAGACGACGUGUGAAGUCUUGGCAAUGGCUUGCUCUGCUCUCUCUCCUUUUAAUAUCAGAAAACCCUCUUCCUUGGCUGGUUUGCUAAAAAAUUGGUGUUCUGGAUUGUUAUUGGUUGAUUUCUGCACAUUGCCUCUACUGUAAUCUUCCCUCCAGAUUUGACUUGCAGGUGAGGCUCUUAUCGGGCUUUGAUUUCGCUGCUCCAGAUCGAAGCUCCCGGCGUUGGCGGCCGCGGUGCGCUGGGUGUUGCAGAUCAGAGUUCAAAGGCAUAGCCAUGGAGCAUAUCGAGCAUAAGUGCAGAUAGAAAGACUAAGACAGUGGGAGGAAGACAAGUUGCUGGUUUGGCUUUUUGGGGAAGAAUGGAGACGACGUGUGAAGUCUUGGCAAUGGCUUGCUCUGCUCUCUCUCCUUUUAAUAUCAGAAAACCCUCUUCCUUGGCUGGUAUGGCUGCCCAUCCCUUCUUUACCGUGUUGCCUUUGUGGAGCCUUUCUAUUGGCUAGGAGUUGCAGCCCAUGCCUAGACCAACUGUUGGUCAAUUGACUACUGAUAUACAUAUUAUGCACGUGAUGGUGGUGGUCAAAUGUGUAUCUCAAAUGUGUCUUGCUGUCCUGGUUGACUCAGAGAUAUUUUUUUGUUGGUCUAAGUUUGAUGUGGCAUUGUUGUAUAGCUUAGCAUAGUCUGGUCUCCCUAUAUUUUUUUUGUUUCCAAAGAUUUGUAAUAUAACUGUACAACUAUACUGUUUGAGAUGUGUGAAUAUAAAUAUAUAUUUGAGUGGUUA